CCGACGCUGGCGGCGUGCCUAAUACAUGCAAGUCGAACGCGUCUUGGUUAUUGAUGUUAGAUGCUUGCAUUUAACUGAUUUAACAUUGAGACGAGUGGCGAACUGGUGAGUAACACGUGGGUAACCUGCCCUUGAAGUAGGGGAUAACACUUGGAAACAGGUGCUAAUACCGUAUAACAACCAAAACCACCUGGUUUUGGUUUAAAAGAUGGCUUCGGCUAUCACUUUAGGAUGGACCCGCGGCGUAUUAGCUUGUUGGUAAGGUAACGGCCUACCAAGGCAAUGAUACGUAGCCGAUCCUGAGAGGGUAAUACGGCCACAUUGGGA
rnacentral:rRNA from 2 species